rnacentral:misc_RNA from 1 species
AAAAAAGUGACCUAUGCUUUUUCGUCUCUCUACGGCAACAAAACUCCUCACGGACCACGCUCCUGCGCACGUUAGUCAACUUCCAAUUACUUUGCGCCUAACUUCGUUCUCCAAAUAGGCCGCUGGCCUUCCACACGCGCUUCUAGUACUUGUGAUGCCUACGUUUCUGCCACUGCCACUGCCAUUGCCAUGCAUGAACCCCUGGAGUUUUCGUUUCAAUCUGCCCCCCUCUCUCGGUCCUCGUAUCAUCCUUAAUUUGAGGGUUUCUUCUUGAUUCUGAAUUCAGUGUUUUCAGUUCCAAAGUUUGCAACUUUGAAGCUUCAACUGCAAAAACAAGUCUUUCUUGUAUCAUCUUCAACUGUCAAUUUGGGGUUUUAGUCAUCAAUUACAUUUUCUUUGGAUCUUUGAUUAGGUUUAAGCUUCUCUUUUAGCUGCAUAUUCUUGCUUCUUGAUUCUUGAUUGACACGUUUGCAGAUAAAAAAUCUUUCUUUGUUAUUCUCCAUUUCAACUGCAUAUGCAAAGGCCA